UGGGGAAUAUUGGACAAUGGGCGAAAGCCUGAUCCAGCCAUGCCGCGUGUGUGAAGAAGGUCUUCGGAUUGUAAAGCACUUUAAGUUGGGAGGAAGGGCAGUAAGCGAAUACCUUGCUGUUUUGACGUUACCGACAGAAUAAGCACCGGCUAACUCUGUGCCAGCAGCCGCGGUAAUACAGAGGGUGCAAGCGUUAAUCGGAAUUACUGGGCGUAAAGCGCGCGUAGGUGGUUCGUUAAGUUGAAUGUGAAAGCCCCGGGCUCAACCUGGGAACUGCAUCCCAGACUGGCGAGCUAGAGUAGGGCAGAGGGUGGUGGAAUUUCCUGUGUAGCGGUGAAAUGCGUAGAUAUAGGAAGGAACACCAGUGGCGAAGGCGACCACCUGGGCUCAUACUGACACUGAGGUGCGAAAGCGUGGGGAGCAAACAAG
rnacentral:rRNA from 1 species